rnacentral:lncRNA from 1 species
CUUACUUAACAAUUCAUCGUGAUAAAAUAUUCAUACUGAAUCAAUAAUCAUGUUAUGUAUGUUAUCAAAAAUCUUCAUGUAAAUAUACACUGUAAGGCCGUACACCGGCAUGCCGUGGUUUACACCCUCCGAUGCUACGGCGGAGUCAUUAUCGGCCACUGGCGGGGCGAGCUCAGUUAUUGUACGGCCACUGGCGGGGCGAGCUCAGUUACUUUCAGCCCGUAGCAUUUAAGAGUUCAUACAUAGUACUUCUUGCAAGUGGUAUACUUAGCUAGAGGCAAUUCAUCAUCUUAUUUUAUACUUAUACCAUAAUUACUAUAUUAAGUGCAAUUAUGGUAACGAAAUCCCAAUCAUCUUAUAUGCAUAAUAUCUUAAAAUCUGUAUAAGCAUGAUGUAUGCAUAACCAUAAAUUCUAUGACUAAAACAUACCACUUGUAUACAUGAUCCAUGAUGAUUAGAAUAGAUUGCUUUCAUUUUACGCAAUUUAAAUUACAUGAAUAACACUCAUUCUUUUUCAUAACUUAUGAUGCAUGAUCUACAAUAAGAUUAAGACGGGUUACUUACACUUAUAAUUUAGGU